rnacentral:lncRNA from 1 species
GUUACAACCGACGACAGACCAAUUCAUAUAUGGUGUACAAUAUAAAGACUCACUCCAUUCUAAAUCGUAGGUCAUUUUGACUUUUCUAAAUGCAUAGUUUUUACUAUGCAUCUAAACAUACACUAUAUCUAAGUGCAUAAAGUCAAAAAGACAUAGAAUUUGAAACGGAGGGAGUACAAGACUUCAUCCGGGACAUGCUUUUAUUUACUUGACCUGUAUGAAUGGUCCAUGCGAACACAUCCAUGUCCAAUUAUUUGGAGGCUUGGCGUUUAUAUUCUUUAGCCAAUUCUGGGAACCUCGGCCACGAUGUCAACCCAGAGACGAACGCGAUUUGGGUCAAAAUCUUGGGGGACGAAGGUGCCAACCGGGACAGCCUCAACAUUCAGCUCCGGCCGCUCCGCCUUGAUCUUCUCGGUCGCCGCUUUGAUCGUGCAUCCCUUUAGCUCAGGCCACUCUGUCUUGGGAGUAGCAUCGGCGCACCCCUUGCUAUCAUCUGAUGAGCUCAUCUUCUUCAGAGAUACCUGCAGAUUUUCUGCACAUUUGUUAAACAUGGGAAAGUCAGGCUGUAGAAAGUAGAAAUGAAGCAAACCAAAACUGCAGGCUUCAAUUCAGUUACUUCUUCUUCUUUUCGAAAUGCGCAUGACAAAUGAGAAGGUAGGUAAGCUAAGAAAGAACAAGAGGAGGAGAUUGAAACGGGAAAGUACUGCUCACCACAGAUGUAAGCACUUUGAACACGCUGAUGUGUGUUUAAUGGAUGAUAGAACGCAAUGCAAGUCGGGUUGUAUUUAUAGGCAAUCUUGAUUCAGCAAAACGUUUGUUCAAAGUCUUGUGUUUGCACAAGCAACCAUGAAAUUUCAAACCCUGACUGGUGAACCUUAUCCAGUUAUGGUAUGUCAUCGUCAAACCCUGACUGGUGAACCUUAUCCCAGUUAUGGUAUGUCAUCGUCAACUU